ACUGUGGAAUUUCAAGAUGUCUGCGCCCAUGUGAAAUGGAAAGUGCAAAAGGGAAUAGGAAUGUUUGAAUGGAAAAAUGAGACGAUGGCAAAUUUUAAAGUGUUUAGGACUUGUAGCUAUUGUGUUUUUUAUUUUUCAGUGCUUUUUGUGGUUUCAUUUUCCAACAAAACAAGACCAGAAUCCAGCAACUUACGAUUUUUGAAUGGCGGAGCUUGACUAUUGACGGAGUACACAUCAGUGUUCCCAAGUCUAUUCGACAUUUCAUUUAUAUGGCCCAGGAGUCUAAGUUCCUGGAGUGUGACCAGGACCGCGCCCAGCUCUUCUAUACCCAACACCCCAGGGACGACUCAGAGGAGGCUCAGCGGUUCACGAGGAAGGCGCGGCAGCUGCUGGUCAAAGGGAAGGAGGUGUUGGAUGCCCUGGGGGUCAGGUUCUGGCUCAGCAGUGGCACCUGUCUUGGUUGGUUUAGACAAUGUGAUAUCAUAACAUAUUCCAAAGACGUUGACUUUGGGAUCUGGAUUAAAGACCACAAGCCAGAAAUUAUUGAUGCCAUGGAAACAGCUGGUCUGCCCCUAAAGCAUGUUUUUGGCAAAGUGUCAGACAGUUAUGAGUUGUCAUUCAAAGCAGGGGAAGUAAAACUAGACAUUUUCUUUUUCUACGAGGAGGGAGAUACCAUGUGGAAUGGAGGAACUGAUGCUAAAACAGGGGAAAAACUCAAGUACGUCUUUCCAAAGUUUGACCUGUGCUGGACGCUGCUUCUGGACAUUCGUGUUCGAGUCCCCUGUCCCACACAACCCUACAUCCAGGCAAACUACGGGAAACAGUGGGACGUUCCGGUCAAAUCCUGGGACUGGAAGAGCAGUGCAUUCAACGUCCGACCCAACGGGGUGUGGCCGAAAUCAGAAUGGAAGGAGGUCAUUCAGGUGUACGAAUAAACAAAUGAGUGGUGACAAUUAAAGGAGCGUUAUUACAUAGAUAUUUGAGAGAAUAAAAGUUAUUGGCGACAAAUUGAUAGCCAAAUAAGUGUUAAGUCAGACAAAACAGAAAAUGUGAUAACAUGAACCAGUGACGUGUUCAGUCAAAAUCAAAGUUCAAAUGUUUGGAAAUUGCGAAACUUUGAAUAUAAUAACUAGAUUUGAUCAGUGAAUAAUGAUUUGUUAAGGGCUAUAAUGCAAUCAAACAAUGAUUCUCUUUCCCAGAUUAUGGGAACAUUCUUAAGCUACUAGCAUGCAAACGUAGGUCAUGCUGAUGUUACUAAGCAUUUAAGUGAAUUGAUUUUAUGUUAAUAAAUCAAUGUAUAUUACAAGUAGCUUUAUUCUCAUAUAGAUUUACCAGCAGCCAACAAGAACACAUAUAUUAUUGUGUGAAUUCAAAGACUCAAUUAUCUAUUCAAAAUCAAGUAAUGAAAUAUCACUUCUUAAAUCUCGGCAUCAUCUAACUUUUGGGGGAGCAAGUCAAAUCUUUGUGAUUGUUCUUUUUAUUUCUAGGGUUGCCUUUUAAAUAUUUCUAAUGUAUUUGAAUUCUUAUAACUUCAUGAUGUAAUCAUGAUUCUUUGCAAAUGUCAUUUAAGAAUGGAUGGAUGACGGCUUAUGUGUUAUACACAUGUACGUUGUAUGUAUGUAGUUCUAUCUGGUUGUGCAAUAUGGAAUAGAAGGUGCUGUCCUAAUUACUUUGUACAUAAACGGACAUACAGAGGAGCUGAUAAUGAUCUUUGUCUUUUACUGACUAUGGUUGUGAUAAUAAAAUCAGGAAGUCUGUAUUUUUUCUAGCUUUAUAAUAAAACUGAACUACUG
rnacentral:misc_RNA from 1 species